CAGAAACUGCACAUAAAAAAAGAGAAAAACUUUUUGCUCAAAGGCCCAACUGAUCCCAAAACAGAACACACUCAAAGAAGAGUAACACCAAAGCAAGCAACUGCAAAAUACAGCAAGGCCACUCUGACCAUGUGUGCAAAGUACAAAACUUAAAAAAUAAAAUCAGAAAACACAAAAUAAAUGACAAAGAAACAAAAACAAAACAAAGGAAAAAAAGGAAACAAACAAACAAAAAAAGCACUAAUCAAAUUCAAUCCUUACACACCAGACUCAAACUAAGUCUAAUUAACUGCCACAACAUAGUCUCGAAGAGGGGUUGAAAACACCUGUUCCAACAGCUGAGGCCAACUGAGCAUUGACUACAUAAGAGUGGGCUCGAAAGGGCCACGUGUUGUCCUGCUGCUUUCAACAGGUCAUUGAUGAGCAUACUGUGCUGGGUUUUGUUCCUGGUAACCCUCUGUGACUACAUACUUGGUUCUUAAUGCUUUUUUUUUUUUUGGUUUUCCAUUAGUUCAGACUUUUCUGUUGGUUGUUAUUUUUGUUUGCUGUUUUCUUUGCUGUCAUAAUUGUGGUUUAUUUUCUUCUUUGUAGACUUGUGUGUUUUCUUGGUCGUGUAGUUUAUUUGUGUUGUCAUUCUAAUAGGUUUCCAUCUUAGUCUGUUGUUUGACAUAAGUUCAUAUGUGCUGUUGUGACUGGUGACCAUCUUGCAUAUUGGCUUGGGUGUAGUUAUAUUUAGUAUCUUUGGGGGUAUGUAAAUUAUCUCCAUCCACCAUGGAUUUGUGAGAGAUUUUUUGGGACCUAGUUGGCAAAGCAUCCUAUGAAACUAGCUUUUAGAGCUUUAAUGCUGAGGCCUGAUAUAGGUCUGCCUUGAUUCAGGGCCUGUGUAUAUGGAUGACAAUCUUUCUGUGUAUAUUAUACUAUUACACUUUCUGUGUAUAUAUAUUUGUAUUUUAUUUUAGAUUAGUAGUAUUAAUUGUUCCUAUAAGAUAGAGUUCAUUUGCUAUGUUAGGAUGAAUUUGUAUAUUUCAGUAGUUAUCUGCAGGAUCUUUGCUAUAAUGGUUAUUUUGCUGUAGUAAUGGUAGUAUGGUAUCUAUCUUGUUCGUGUGGAAAGAAGAAGCCAGUAGUAACACCAAAACUAGUAGAUAGCGUUACUCCCUUGGUUGCUCCUUGAACCCUGGCCAGGUUUUGGGGGUAAAACCAACAGGAGACAGAGGAAACCAGAUGUUCCGCCUGAUUGUUACGUAGAUUUUUUUGUUCAAUGAUAUGAAGGCUGGACCUGCUUGCAGCGAUGAUGGAGACCUGGACUGCGGGGUGGACGCGCUGCCGUAGGACUUCCCAGUUGCUGGGACGGGUUCUCCAGAUACUCGCUGCAACCAGGGCUCCCCAGCAACUGCGGGUCUGGAUGAUGGUCCAAGUACUAGGGCAAUGAUUGAUAGACUGAAGUCAUAGAAUAGCUCAGGUUGGAAAAAGCCUUAAGUCCAAACACAGCCUAACAGUACUAUCUUAACUUCAACAACCCACCACUAAAUCAUGUCCGUGAGCAUCACAUCCAGAUAGUUGCUAAACACAUCCACGUGCCUUUCUUUAUCACUGUUGCUACCCUCAGACAGUAAAAAUCAGAUGCAUUACUUUGCUUAUUUUUUCUCUCAUUAAGCUUACAAUUUGACUGCAGGUACUGCUUUAUAUUUUCAUUAUUUUGAAAUCGAGGGUAAACUAAGCUUGUCCUUUUGUGACUGUAUCAUUCCUGUUUACCUUGUCAGUUGGCAGAGUAUCUGGUGUCAUAUAGCAGAUUUGAACAAAAUGUCACACUUGAAAUUUAAACAGAAUGUAUUUCCUCCAUCUGAGUUUCCUGGGUGGGAGCGUGUUUCAUAUAGUUCACUGGUUCUUGAUCUGUUUGAACUAUGUGCGCAUUAGUUGAAAGAAGCCAAACUGAUGGGUGUGUUAAACUUUGUUCAAAAAUAAAAAGCCCAUUGAUAAAGAAUAAGUAAUUGGGGUCUUGGGAAGACAAAGAUGGAUCUUGUUAACAGCCUAUCAGAACCAGCACCAAUAGGAAGAGCAAUUGUUGCCAGGAUGUUCUCAUAUGCAGGAAACGAGUGUGUGAACUACAGAACCAGAUUGUGAUGUUGCAGUGUUGAAAUAAAGUGCAUGUUGAUAAGCUGGGAACUUAUCUGAAUGUAGCUGCAAAGGCUGCCUUUCAGGUCGUGCAGAAUAACAAGACAAAAGAACGAAUGAAUCUUCAGGAAGUGGAUUUGGCGGUUGCAGAAGCAGGUGCUGGUAGAGAGCUCUGCUCUUCGACGAGGCCGGACACGAGUGCCUGCCAAUAAGGACUUGGACUUGCUCUUUCUCCUCCCAUUUUUGUUUGUUUGAUUUACUAUUUCUAAUUAUUCUGUAUUAUAUC